rnacentral:rRNA from 1 species
UACGUAGGCGGAAAAUUAAGUCAGUAGUGAAAUCCUGCAGCUUAACUGUAGAACUGUUAUUGAUACUGGUUUUCUUGAAUAUAGUUGAGGUAGGCGGAAUGUGUAAUGUAGCGGUGAAAUGCUUAGAUAUUACACAGAACACCGAUUGCGAAGGCAGCUUACUAAGCUAUGAUCGACGCUGAGGUACGAAAGCGUGGGGAGCGAACAGGAUUAGAUACCCUGGUAGUCC